ACGUAGGGGGCGAGCGUUGUCCGGAGUUACUGGGCGUAAAGCGCACGCAGGCGGUCGGCCAAGUUCGGAGUGACAGUUUCCGGCUUAACUGGAAAAGGUCUUCGAAAACUGGUGGACUUGAGGACUUGAGGGGGAGACGGAAUUCCGGGUGUAGUGGUGAAAUGCGUAGAGAUCCGGAGGAACACCAGUGGCGAAGGCGGCUGGCUGGACCUGACCUGACGCUGAGGCGCGAAGGCGUGGGGAGCGAACGGGA
rnacentral:rRNA from 1 species